GCCAGCCUGGUGUAGUGGCUUGAGUGUUGGACUAUGACUCUGGAGACCAAGGUUUGAAUCCUGGCUUGGCC
rnacentral:tRNA from 1 species